rnacentral:snRNA from 1 species
AUACAUACCUGGCAGGGGAGAUACCAUGAUCAUGAAGGUGGUUUUCCCAGGGCAAGGCUUAUCCAUUGCACUCUGGAAGUGCUGACCUCUGCGAUUUCCCCAAAUGCGGGGAAACUCGACUGCAUAAUUUGUGGUAGUGGGGGACUGCAUUCGCGCUCUCCCCUG